rnacentral:rRNA from 1 species
UACAGAGGGUGCGAGCGUUAAUCGGAAUUACUGGGCGUAAAGCGUGCGUAGACGGUUAUUUAAGUCGGAUGUGAAAGCCCCGGGCGCAACCUGGGAAUUGCAUUCGAGACUGAAUAGCUAGGGUGCGGUAGAGGGAAGCGGAAUUUCCGGUGUAGCGGUGAAAUGCGCAGAUAUCAGGAGGAACACCGAUGGCGAAGGCAGCUCGCUGGGACGGUACUGACGCUGAGACGCGAAAACGUGGGGAGCGAACAGG